UGCAGGCCCGAGCGCGGCAAUGAUUGGUCUCGGGGGAGGGGUGGGGGGUUGCAAGCCCGAGGAGCGGUGGCAUCCGUUGCAUGAUGCAAAAAGGAUUGAUUUCAAAAGUUGCGAGUUGCUUUGGCAGCAGCCUUGGCGCCUGGGCCACCUCCUUUUCCUUGACCCGCUGGAAGGGCCGGGAAUGUUUUCCAAAACCUGGCGGGACUCAGCCGCGCGGCGAUCGGCGGGACGCUGUACCUGCUCCACGCGCGCUGCCGGCAGACAAUGAGCCUGGAAACGAUUCGAAAAUAGAGCAGGAGCAGAGGAAAGGUCCCCUCUGCUGCGAUGAAGGACUCAGAGACACAGACGGCGCGUUUGGUUGAAAUGACUUCCAUCACCUCUCCCUUCUAUUGUUCAGUCUGGCUCGGGAGUUCAUAGGCACCUUAGCGAACGUGUACACGUCCUGCAAAGUUUCUUGAACGUUUCAUGUGCUUGGUAGGAAGUCAGAGCCUCACGUUCCGCAGUUAGAUUGUUUGCUCUGCCCAGGUCCAAGUAAACAUGGCAGCCUAUUACUGUAUGUGUUUAAAUUAACACCCACAGCAGUGCUGCAGCCUGUGAAAUUACUUAUUUCAGGGUUUCAACUUUCUGCUGCACUGCUGAAUAAAAAUAAAGCAAAAUGCUUUGCGACGACGUCUUUUAGGGCUUCCUUUAAAACCGAGGAGUGGGGAGGAAUGCAGAGCAAACUUUUCUAGAGUGGUUCAGCAUUUUCCAAAUACAUUUGGGGGCAGGGUUUUUUGUUUUGCUUUUAACGAAAAGGUACUUUAGGUUGUGCUGGCAGGUUUGUAGGCUACGCAGAUGCUGUUUUCAUUCUUAAAAUUUCUUCUUGUCAGUUCCCCCAGGGUUUUGAUCUUGGUGAAGAUGCAAUAGUGAUGCAGCCUAGGAGCCCAGGCUGCUGCGGGCUCCUCCUUUCUCUGUCCUUUCUCUGUCCCCGUACAAUUAUCCUGGAUAAUCUGGAUUCACCAGGAUCCUUGUACAGAAACAAGGGAGGCAAGAGGGUCUGAAAAGUUGUGACAAAGGAAGCAAAGAUCAGAGUGAUCUGGAGCCACAAGCCAAGGAAUGUGGGCAGCUUCCAGAAGCUGAAAAAGGCAAGGAAGUGAAUUCUCCUCUGAGCUUCCAGAAGGAGCCAGCCCUGCCAACCCAUUUUGGUCCUUACCGUGGAACCUGCCCUGAUGAUUUGCAGUUAUUCCAUAUACUUAAUCUCUCCACACCUCCCCCUGCACCCCCGAAAGCCUUGACCCCCUGUAAAGAGUAUCUUUUUUAAAAAAAAUUUUUUACACUUUU